rnacentral:rRNA from 1 species
CGGGGCGCUGCAGCAGUGAGGAAUAUUGCACAAUGGGGGGAACCCUGAUGCAGCAACGCCGCGUGGAGGAUGACGCAUUUCGGUGUGUAAACUCCUUUUAUAUGUCAAGAAAAUGACGGUAGCAUAUGAAUAAGCACCGGCUAACUCCGUGCCAGCAGCCGCGGUAAUACGGAGGGUGCAAGCGUUACUCGGAAUCACUGGGCGUAAAGGACGCGUAGGCGGGUUGGAAAGUCAGGUGUGAAAUCCUACAGCUUAACUGUAGAACUGCACUUGAAACUUCUAAUCUAGAGUAUGGGAGGGGGAGAUGGAAUUAGUGGUGUAGGGGUAAAAUCCGUAGAUAUCACUAGGAAUACCUAAAGCGAAGGCGAUCUCCUGGAACAUUACUGACGCUAAGGCGUGAAAGCGUGGGGAGCAAACAGGAUUAGAUACCCGAGUAGUC